rnacentral:rRNA from 1 species
AUGCCUGACCUUCAUGUUUAUCUUUUCAUGGUCAUGGAAAAAUUAAUGCUCAGCGGAUUCGUCAAGGCCACGUCCGCGGCACGGCGAGACGCCCGCGAAGCAUUGCUUGCUUCCAUGCCGACGCGAGCUGCCAGUCCACCCAGCUCACGAAUAGCCUCACGGGUCUCCGAUCCAGCACCCUCCCUAUGGCACAGCUCCACCAUGCUAACUGAUGCUGCCUACGCCAUGGAAAGGCUUGUUGUCGAGAGACGUGAAGAAAGUCUGAUAGUAGUUGCUGCAUUCGAGUUGAUUUCUAUCCCCAGAGCAUCAAUCUUGGCACACUCUUUGAGAAGCAAACAGUAUGCUCAACAUCUCAAAUUGUUCAUGCAUUAA